rnacentral:rRNA from 1 species
UACGGAGGGUGCAAGCGUUGUCCGGAUUUAUUGGGUUUAAAGGGUGCGUAGGCGGUCUUUUAAGUCAGUGGUGAAAUCCUCCAGCUUAACUGGAGAACUGCCAUUGAUACUGGAAGACUUGAGUAUAGUUGAGGUAGGCGGAAUUGACGGUGUAGCGGUGAAAUGCAUAGAUAUCGUCAAGAACCCCGAUUGCGAAGGCAGCUUACUAAACUAUAACUGACGCUGAGGCACGAAAGUGUGGGGAUCAAAC